GACGAACGCUGGCGGCGUGCUUAACACAUGCAAGUCGAGCGGAAAGGCCCUUUCGGGGGUACUCGAGCGGCGAACGGGUGAGUAACACGUGAGUAAUCUGCCCUUGGCUUUGGGAUAACUACCGGAAACGGUGGCUAAUACCGGAUACGACCACUCCUUGCAUGAGGUGGUGGUGGAAAGUUUUUUCGGCCAGGGAUGUGCUCGCGGCCUAUCAGCUUGUUGGUGGGUAAUGGCCUACCAAGGCUUCGACGGGUAGCCGGCCUGAGAGGGUGACCGGCCACACUGGGACUGAAACACGGCCCAGACUCCUACGGGAGGCAGCAGUGGGGAAUAUUGGACAAUGGGCGGAAGCCUGAUCCAGCAACGCCGCGUGAGGGAUGACGGCCU
rnacentral:rRNA from 1 species